UUUACUAUUCAUGAAGAGGGGAGCUGGUUUUCUUAAACCACUUACCGAUAACAUUCCAGUCCAUCCUUUUUUGCACUUGUUUUCUAUUGUGUAUGACUUCCUCCAGAAAAUUGUGGUAAUUGUAACAACACUUAUGUUGACUGAAUUAAACAAGCAAAAGUUUCUUUUUACU